rnacentral:lncRNA from 1 species
GCCCGGCCCCUGCGCGCGUGCGUGUCCUGCUCGCUCCAUGUUGCCGCCUCUCCCGGUACCUGCUGCUGCUCCCGGGGCUUCGGGAAAUGCGAGAGUCUGAGCCGGGGAGGAGGAACCCGAGCAGCGGCGGCGGCGGCCGCGGCGGCGGGAGCCCCCCAAGAGGAGGACCGGGAUCCAUGUGUCUUUCCUGGUGACUAGGAUGUCGUCGGAGGAGAACAAGUGCGUGGAGCAGCCGCAGCCACCACCCCCCGAGGAGCCUGGAGCCCCGGCCCCGAGCCCCCCAGCCGCAGACAAAAGACCUCGGGGCCGGCCUCGCAAGGCGCUUCCCCUUUCCAGAGAGCCAGAAAGAAACUCAGCCCACCUGCACCCAGGUGAAAUAAACAGCUUUAUUGCUCACACGAAGCCUGUUUGGUGGUCUCUUCACACGGAUGCGCAUGAAAUUUGGUGCCGUGACUUGGAUCGGGGGACCUCCCUUAGGAGAUCAAUCCCCCGUCCUCCUGCUCUUUGCUCCGUGAGAAAGAUCCACCUACGACCUCAGGUCCUCAGACCGACCAGCCCAAGAAACAUCUCACCAAUUUCAAAUCUGAUCUAUUCGGCUUAGCGACUGAAGAUUGACGCUGCCCGAUCGCCUCGGAAGUCCCCUGGACCAUCACAGAAGCCGAGCUUCGGGUAACUCUCACAGUGGAGGGUAAGUCCAUCCCCUGUUUAAUCGAUACGGGGGCUACCCACUCCACGUUGCCUUCUUUUCAAGGGCCUGUUUCCCUUGCCCCCAUAACUGUUGUGGGUAUUGACGGCCAAGCUUCAAAACCCCUGAAAACUCCCCCACUCUGGUGCCAACUUGGACAACACUCUUUUAUGCACUCUUUUUUAGUUAUCCCCACCUGCCCACUUCCCUUAUUAGGCCGAAAUAUUUUAACCAAAUUAUCUGCUUCCCUGACUAUUCCUGGAGUACAGCUACAUCUCAUUGCUGCCCUUCUUCCCAAUCCAAAGCCUCCUUUGUGUCCUCUAACAUCCCCACAAUAUCACCCCUUACCACAAGACCUCCCUUCAGCUUAAUCUCUCCCACUCUAGGUUCCCACGCCGCCCCUAAUCCCACUUGAAGCAGCCCUGAGAAACAUCGCCCAUUCUCUCUCCAUACCACCCCCCAAAAAUUUUCGCCGCUCCAACACUUCAACACUAUUUUGUUUUAUUUGUCUUAUUAAUAUCAGAAGGCAGGAAUGUCAGGCCUCUGAGCCCAGGCCAGGCCAUCGCAUCCCCUGUGACUUGCACGUAUACAUCCAGAUGGCCUGAAGUAACUGAAGAUCCACAAAAGAAGUAAAAACAGCCUUAACUGAUGACAUUCCACCAUUGUGAUUUGUUCCUGCCCCACCCUAACUGAUCAAUGUACUUUGUAAUCUCCCCCACCCUUAAGAAGGUUCUUUGUAAUUCUCCCCACCCUUGAGAAUGUACUUUGUGAGAUCCACCCCUGCCCACCAGAGAACAACCCCCUUUGAUUGUAAUUUUUUAUUACCUUCCCAAAUCCUAUAAAACAGCCCCACCCCUAUCUUCCUUCACUGACUCUCUUUUCGGACUCAGCCCACCGGCACCCAGGUGAAAUAAACAGCUUUAUUGCUCACACAAA